rnacentral:lncRNA from 1 species
UAAGCCUGUCUGAUUUCAGAGCCCAUUUACAUGACCACCAGGCAUACAGCCUUCCCUGUACUAAUGAUCAUCUAUCUGGCCUGAUGCUGGUUCCUUUCCUCUAUUUGCAUUGUCCUUUCAGGUCUCACUCUCUCUUGCCCAAUCUCCUACUUCUAGGUCCCCUUCUCUUACUUGCUUCUGUUAGGGAAGACAGACUGAAAAGUGCUAUGAAGAGCAUGCAAUGAAGAGAAUAAGGCAUUAUGACUGAGACUGUCCAGGCAUCUGUUUUGCCAGGGGGAUGUGCAAAGAGCU